rnacentral:lncRNA from 1 species
AUUAUUUUGAACCAAACCAACAUUUGUUAUUGAAGUAGCAGUCCUGGGAGUGCAUUCUGACGAAGAACACCAAAGGUGGACUCCAAUCAAGUUGUUGAAACAUCUCAAGGAUGAUACACAGAAACAUGAUGCCCCUAAGCUCAACUUCGAGUCUCAUAGCAAAGGGUCUGAAUACUUAUGUAAAUAAGAACCUGAGCCCUAGGACCAUGCCUCAGGACUACCUGGUAUGAUGACUCCUUGCUGUCCCCAGUCCACCUGGCCGUGCUGCUGCUCCAGUUUCAACUGUUCUGCCUGCGGCUAUGGAACCCUGACCUGUUCACCGGACGUGCUUGUUGCACCCUCGACAACUACUAUGAUUAUUAUUAUUUGACCAUGCUGGUCAUUUAUGAACAUUUUAACAG